rfam:Felis catus isolate Cinnamon breed Abyssinian chromosome E1, whole genome shotgun sequence.
GCCUGGGUGGCUCAGUCAGUUGAGUGUCCGACUUCGGCUCAGGUUGUGAUCUCACAGUUUGUGGGUUCAAGUCCCAUGUCGGGCU